GCGGCGGUGCGACAGAGCGGGGCUGCGACAGCGCGACAGCGCUACAGCCUGAGCCGCGACAGUGCGACAGUGUGACAGUGCAUAUUUGCAGUAGACUGAGUUGCAACAGCGCGACACCGUGCCAGUGUGACAGCCUGAGCUGCGACAGUGCGACACUGCAACAGUGAGCUGCAACAGUGAGACAGCAUAGCAGUGCAAUGCUGCGGCAGCCUGAGCUGGAAUAGUGCAGCUGUGUGACAGAGCAACAGUGCAACAGUGUGAGCUGCAGCAGAGCUACCGUGCAGCAAUGCAGCGCUGCAGCAGUCUGCGCUGCAACGUGCAACACUGCAAGAGUGCAAGAGCCGCCACUACAACUGCGCAACAGUGCAACAGCACAACUGUCUGCAAGAGCUCAUGUUGCAACAGUGCAACGCUGCAGCAGCGCAAACAUCUGGUGCUGCAACCGUGCAUCCAGCAGUGCUGUAUGUAGCACUGCAACACACAGCAUCACAUCACUGCUGCAACACUGCAACACCACAACGCUCAGUGCAUGCAGCGCAGCGACGCUGAACCUGCGGCACUCCGUUCUGCAACCAUGCACCCAGCAUUGCAGCUCUGUGCCCAGUACUGCAACACUGCUCUCGCUUUGCCCACUGCACUGCUCUGACAUCAUCUCACAUUGCUCUGACGUCAUCACACACUGCCGGGAUGUCUUCACACGGCACUGCUGUGGUGUCAUUCCACACUGCUGGGUCACCACACACCGUUCUGACGUCAUCCUACAUGGCUGUGAUGCAAACCCGCACCACUCUGAUGUCAUUCCGCACCGCUCCGAUGUCACUGCGCACUGCUGAUGUCAUCCCACGCCACUACAGUGUGACCUCACAUCGCCGUGACGUCACCUCACAUCAUCCCACACUGAGGACGUCACCCACACCGGUCCAAUGGCAUCCCACACCACUCUGAUGUCAUCCCACAUCAUUGUCAUGCCACCUCUGACGUCAUCGCACAUCACCUCGCGCGCGCUCUCCCGCCCGGCCGCC
ensembl:lncRNA